ACUCUCCUUCUCCCAUUAGCUCAGCCGUGGCAUCGGACUUGCAGCUUCAUUUUGGGCUGCCUUAGCCAUGAAGCUCCUUUUGCUGACUUUGACUGUGCUGCUGCUCUUAUCCCAGCUGACUCCAGACCUUUCAAAUCCGGAGCCUACUUGUUAGGACUGAUACUGUCUCCCUUCUUUCUGCUUUGUGUCAGGUGGCACCCAAAGAUGCUGGAAUCUUUAUGGCAAAUGCCGUUACAGAUGCUCCAAGAAGGAAAGAGUCUAUGUUUACUGCAUAAAUAAUAAAAUGUGCUGCGUGAAGCCCAAGUACCAGCCAAAAGAAAGGUGGUGGCCAUUUUAACUGCUUUGAAGCCUGAAGCCAUGAAAAUGCAGAUGAAGCUCCCAGUGGAUUCCCACACUCUAUCAAUAAACACCUCUGGCUGA